UACGGAGGGGCUAGCGUUGUUCGGAAUUACUGGGCGUAAAGGGUGCGUAGGCGGGUUUUAAGUCAGGGUGAAAUCCUGGAGCUCAACUCCAGAACUGCCUUUGAUACUGAAGAUCUUGAGUCCGGGAGAGGUGAGUGGAACUGCGAGUGUAGAGGUGAAAUUCGUAGAUAUUCGCAAGAACACCAGUGGCGAAGGCGGCUCACUGGCCCGGUACUGACGCUGAGGCACGAAAGCGUGGGGAGCAAACAGG
rnacentral:rRNA from 1 species